rnacentral:rRNA from 1 species
AUUGAACGCUGGCGGCAGGCUUAACACAUGCAAGUCGAGGGGAGAUGAGGUGCUUGCACCUUAUCUUAGCGGCGGACGGGUGAGUAAUGCUUAGGAAUCUGCCUAUUAGUGGGGGACAACAUUCCGAAAGGAAUGCUAAUACCGCAUACGUCCUACGGGAGAAAGCAGGGGAUCUUCGGACCUUGCGCUAAUAGAUGAGCCUAAGUCGGAUUAGCUAGUUGGUGGGGUAAAGGCCUACCAAGGCGACGAUCUGUGGGGGGUCAGAGAGGAUGCGCCGGCAAACUGGGACUGAGACACGGCGCAGACUCCAACGGGAGGCAGCAGUGGGGAAUAUUUGACAAAGGGGCGAACCCUGAUCCAGCCAUGCCGCGGGUGUGGAGAAGGCCUUAUGGUUAUAAAGCACUUUAAGCGAGGAGGAGGCUACUGAGACUAAUACUCUUGGAUAGUGGACGUUACUCGCAGAAUAAGCACCGGCUAACUCUGUGCCAGCCGCCGCCGUAACAC